rnacentral:rRNA from 1 species
UGGGGAAUAUUGGUCAAUGGGCGAUAGCCUGAACCAGCCAAGUAGCGUGAAGGAUGAAGGCUCUAUGGGUCGUAAACUUCUUUUAUAUAAGAAUAAAGUGCAGUAUGUAUACUGUUUUGUAUGUAUUAUAUGAAUAAGGAUCGGCUAACUCCGUGCCAGCAGCCGCGGUAAUACGGAGGAUCCGAGCGUUAUCCGGAUUUAUUGGGUUUAAAGGGAGCGUAGGUGGACUGGUAAGUCAGUUGUGAAAGUUUGCGGCUCAACCGUAAAAUUGCAGUUGAUACUGUCAGUCUUGAGUACAGUAGAGGUGGGCGGAAUUCGUGGUGUAGCGGUGAAAUGCUUAGAUAUCACGAAGAACUCCGAUUGCGAAGGCAGCUCACUGGACUGCAACUGACACUGAUGCUCGAAAGUGUGGGUAUCAAACAGG